rnacentral:rRNA from 1 species
CGAACGCUGGCGGCGUGCUUAACACAUGCAAGUCGAACGGAAAGGCCCUGCUUUUGUGGGGUGCUCGAGUGGCGAACGGGUGAGUAACACGUGAGUAACCUGCCCUUGACUUUGGGAUAACUUCUGGAAACUGGGGCUAAUACCGGAUAGGAGCUCCUGCUGCAUGGUGGGGGUUGGAAAGUUUCGGCGGUUGGGGAUGGACUCGCGGCUUAUCAGCUUGUUGGUGGGGUAGUGGCUUACCAAGGCUUUGACGGGUAGCCGGCCUGAGAGGGUGACCGGCCACAUUGGGACUGAGAUACGGCCCAGACUCCUACGGGAGGCAGCAGUGGGGAAUAUUGCACAAUGGGCGGAAGCCUGAUGCAGCAACGCCGCGUGCGGGAUGACGGCCUUCGGGUUGUAAACCGCUUUCGCCUGUGACGAAGCGUGAGUGACGGUAAUGGGUAAAGAAGCACCGGCUAACUACGUG